GUUCCUGUUGUGUAGUUGGUUAGCACGCAAGACUCUGAAUCUUGAAGCCUGGGUUCAAGUCCCAGCAGGAACU